GGGUAGGUAGCUCAGUUGGUAGAGCAACGGACUGAAAAUCCGUGUGUCGGCGGUUCAAGUCCGCCCCUACCCA
rnacentral:tRNA from 1 species